GCGGGAUUAGUAUAUUGGUAGUACGCGUCCUUGCCAAGGACGAAGGGCGAGUUCGAUUCUCGUAUCCCGCU
rfam:Parcubacteria bacterium GW2011_GWB1_41_4 TT61_C0021, whole genome shotgun sequence.